UCCUGAUCUGUGUACUCAUUGUCUGC
rnacentral:piRNA from 1 species